rnacentral:rRNA from 1 species
AUUGAACGCUGGCGGCAGGCCUAACACAUGCAAGUCGAACGGUAACAGGAAGCAGCUUGCUGCUUUGCUGACGAGUGGCGGACGGGUGAGUAGUGUCUGGGAAACUGCCUGAUGGAGGGGGAUAACUACUGGAAACGGUAGCUAAUACCGCAUAACGUCGCAAGACCAAAGAGGGGGACCUUCGGGCCUCUUGCCAUCGGAUGUGCCCAGAUGGGAUUAGCUAGUAGGUGGGGUAACGGCUCACCUAGGCGACGAUCCCUAGCUGGUCUGAGAGGAUGACCAGCCACACUGGAACUGAGACACGGUCCAGACUCCUACGGGAGGCAGCAGUGGGGAAUAUUGCACAAUGGGCGCAAGCCUGAUGCAGCCAUGCCGCGUGUAUGAAGAAGGCCUUCGGGUUGUAAAGUACUUUCAGCGGGGAGGAAGGGAGUAAAGUUAAUACCUUUGCUCAUUGACGUUACCCGCAGAAGAAGCACCGGCUAACUCCGUG